rnacentral:misc_RNA from 1 species
GAUGAAGAACGUAGCGAAAUGCGAUAAGUAAUGUGAAUUGCAGAAUUCAGUGAAUCAUCGAAUCUUUGAACGCACAUUGCGCCCGCCAGUAUUCUGGCGGGCAUGCCUGUUCGAGCGUCAUUUCAACCAUCAAGCCCCAGGCUUGUGUUGGGGACCUGCGGCUGCCGCAGGCCCUGAAAACCAGUGGCGGGCUCGCUGUCACACCGGGCGUAGUAGAUUUUAUCUCGCUCAGGGCGUGCUGCGGGUUCCGGACGUUAAAAAGCCUUUUUUACCCAAGGUUGACCUCGGAUCAGGUAGGAAGACCCGCUGAACUUAAGCAUCUCAAUAAGCGGAGGA